GAUGAACGCUGGCGGCGUGCCUAAUACAUGCAAGUCGAGCGAACAGACGAGGAGCUUGCUCCUCUGACGUUAGCGGCGGACGGGUGAGUAACACGUGGAUAACCUACCUAUAAGACUGGGAUAACUUCGGGAAACCGGAGCUAAUACCGGAUAAUAUAUUUAACCGCAUGGUUCAAUAGUUAAAGACGGUUUUGCUGUCACUUAUAGAUGGAUCCGCGCCGCAUUAGCUAGUUGGUAAGGUAACGGCUUACCAAGGCAACGAUGCGUAGCCGACCUGAGAGGGGGAUCGGCCACACUGGAACUGAGACACGGUCAAGACUCCUACGGGAGGCAGCAGUAGGGAAUCUUCCGCAAUGGGCGAAAGCUUGACGGAGCAACGCCGCGUGAGUGAUGAAGGUCUUCGGAUCGUAAAACUCUGUUAUUAGGGAAGAACAAAUGUGUAAGUAACUAUGCACGUAUUGACGGUACCUAAUCAGAAAGCCACGGCUAACUACGUG
rnacentral:rRNA from 1 species